CUGAAAUGUGUCGCGCAUUAUGAAAUAAAUCUGGCCAAUCAUAUUUCUCCCAGCCAUUGGAACAUGUCUGUACUGACAGAUUUUGAGGGUGCCCCUCUUCAGCUAGGAGGAAUUGAUUGCGGGGUAUUCAUGUUGAUGUAUGCACUCCAUGUUACGCUCUCAAAGCCAUUUGAUUUUGCUGCGGUGAGUUUGCAUCAAUUUAUGGUUAUUUGUAAAGCAAA